GCGAGGAAUUCCCGCUUCGCUUGCCGCUUGUUUUGUCUCUUUAAAUGAUUCCAUCGAAACGGGUUUCAUUGGGGUCUAGUAACAGAGUCAGGCAGCGGGCGAUUCCCUACGGGGUCUUGAUACUCAAAGCGUCCCCCCCCCUUUUUUUUAAAGUCAGGAAGCAAAGGUUAGAGCGGACGGAAGAACACGACCCCCAAUGAGUGCACCUAGAGGAGCAGUAGGCAAAAUUAGGUGCUGUUUGGGAAAGUUAAUUCUUCGCUGCCGAAGGGAAGGCUCUAGGAGGAGGGGGGGGAUUUCAGAAAAGCAAAGCAAUUGUUCAGCGCCAGGAAAGCUAAUUAAAUAACUCUCUUCAGAGGUGGAAUGGAAGUUAGAAAGAUGCGCGUCCCGGAGGGUCAAGACGGAUGAAGACGUGUUGUGGCUAAAUCUCAGCCCUGUCCGCUCAGCGGCUUGGUCGUCUUUUUUAAAAAGCAAUUCAACCGCUUAUUGCUGGCUGGAGUGACAGUAUACGGAACCAUCGCCGCCCACUAUUUAGAUCUUACACCUAUUUACGCAGAAGUAAUUUUCCUUUAGUAUAACGUAGUAACUACGUCGUAGUUAGUUACAAUUUGGAUUAGAAAUACAAAAAGCCAAUGACACUUCCGCUGGUUGAGGGAAAAAAAUCGUGAGAGCACUUGGGAACAAUCUCCGGACAGACCAGAAAACAAAGUUUGCAAAAACUUACUAAGGGCAGAGAGAGAAUGACUGGACCAAGGGUACCCAGCUGACUUCAUGUCCAAGGCCUCAAGUAUUUCACGACUUUACCUUCAGGACUGAUGAGAUAUUUCCAGAAAUUCCACCUAGGUUCCAUUUUAGAAGCAUCUGCAGGAAUAACAUACGAUAUUCCUAACGUGCUACUAUUAUGCAGAAAGAAUACAGCGGCAAGUCUGCCUGACCAUCUAAAAAAAAUGAAAUUACUUACUUUGCCUCGACAUCUCUCCAAGGACAUGGUUCUUCCUUUCCAAUCCUUCACUUCA